AUCGAACGCUGGCGGCAGGCCUAACACAUGCAAGUCGAACGAGUGGCGGACGGGUGAGUAAUGUCUGGGAAACUGCCUGAUGGAGGGGGAUAACUACUGGAAACGGUAGCUAAUACCGCAUACCAUCGGAUGUGCCCAGAUGGGAUUAGCUUGUUGGUGGGGUAACGGCUCACCAAGGCGACGAUCCCUAUCCGGUCUGAGAGGAUGACCGUCCACACUGGAACUGAGACACGGUCCAGACUCCUACGGGAGGCAGCAGUGGGGAAUAUUGCACAAUGGGCGCAAGCCUGAUGCAGCCAUGCCGCGGGUAUGAAGAAGGCCUUCGGGUUGUAAAGUACUUUCAGCGGGGAGGCUUUACCCGCAGAAGAAGCACCGGCUAACUCCGUGCCAGCAGCCGCGGUAAUUC
rnacentral:rRNA from 1 species